AUGCAUUACCAUUCAAAGCACAGAGAACAAGGACAAUUUGCCAGCUGCACUUGUUCUCAUGCUGCUGAGACUCAGGAGUGAACUUUUUAAUCAGAACAUGAAGCUCAUUCCAAAUCAUUCCAAAUCUAAUUCAAGUGUGCUGGCUCAAAGGACAUAAAUCUUUCAUCAACUCUCAACUCCUUUGAAACUGCAUCAGCUAAUGC
rnacentral:lncRNA from 1 species